GGAACCCUCUACAUUUUCUACUGGGAAUUUCCGAAGCAUAAAACUUGCUGGACCAUGAAAGGCCUCCUAUCAGUUUUGCCGUUUGAAAAGAAGUGUGCAGUGGCUCCUUCCCUUGCCUUCGCGCAGCACCGUGCACAACGGGAACCUUGAUGGUCUGGCACUGCAGAACAAAAAUACGUGUAGAUUGGAGAGGAGAAUGGAGAGGAGAAACGUAAAAAGUGAUAAAGAGGGCUCCCACCUCCUACAUCUUCUGCUCUCUUCUUUGUGGAAGAUUCCCAUGACUGUGGGACCUCUCAGCAUGCUACAGAUCACUCCCACAAAACUUAGCACUUCAGCCCCAGACCCUGGUCGCUCUGAGAGGGCAUGGCCAGCCCACUGCUUUGCUCUGACCCAGCUCCUGCAAGUCAUGGCUGCAUGCACGAUACCGCCUCUGAUC
rnacentral:lncRNA from 1 species